rnacentral:lncRNA from 1 species
CCUUGCUGCAGUCAAGAAUAUUAUUCACAAGCGUAGGUUCUGACCUUGGUCAGGUGUCAGAACCAACCUUUCAACAUACAGAUUGUUCAUAGAAAUAAAUCCACCAAUAUAAUCGUUCGACUAUAGUUAUACUUCGCAGAUAAGGAGGCACGACAAAUACAUACACUGUCGGCAAGGUAAAAAAAAAACAUUACGAAAUAAACUUUUUUUUUAAUUUUUUUUUUUUAUGAACAUGAAAUGAAUGAUAACAUUAUGUUACACAGCCGGUAAAAAAAUCUGACAAGCUAUACAAUUUAUAUUACAAGCUCAGCCUUCCACUGUCGCUACCAAUUUUCUCGAGAUUAAGAUAAAAUCAAAGUAAUGAGAUGCGGAAGUUCGAAAAUGAAAUGAAAGGUCCUAAAGCUAGCAAAUCGGGGGGACUCUAGUAAAGCUGGGCCCCACGUUGGGCGCCAAUGCAACGUAAAUGGGUUUUCGUGUGUAAACGUAUUCUCAUUCAUAAUCUGUCUCAUGACAUUAAACCCUGCUAGCUCAGCCAUUUACGUUACUGGUAGAGAGGGUUCGGCCUGUGCUUUCGCUCCAGGACUUCUGACAGCAUACUGACAAUACAACGAAACAGUAAAUUCAAUAAUGACAGGAAUAAGAAACCUAAAAAUGACCAGUGAUGACGAUUUGCCAAGCAAUGUAUUUGCUCAUAUAACAAAUGACCAAAAUUCAUAAAACAGUUUCAUAUUUAAUAGACAAAGACAAC